CCUAACUGACGAAGGGAAAUUUGAAACCUUCCAGUUAUCUCAACGGUAGCGAAGCAACUAUGUAUUUUUAAUUUCACACGCUAAAUGGAGCGUUACGUACAUCAACAAGUGUAAAUAGAGACAGCUAUAUUAUACGGUAUGAUACAGGUUGCUUGUUAGAGAGGUAAUAGACAGCUAUAGUAAGUGUUGAAGAUGGCCAGACACGAUGUAUUCUUCACAGUGUUCGUUAUGGGUCUGAUUUUAAUAGGACUUGUUCAUGCAGAUUUUGCUACAUGUAACUGUGGAAGAAGGUGUGGAUCGUUUAGAUGUGAUCCAUCAAAUACUAAAGGUUGUGAUUGUGUCAACUGUAGGUGCAGACCCGGCAGCGUUGGUUUCCAUCGAUGCUGUGCUGCUAAUUGUGGAAUGUUUAGUAACACCAAAUGCUAUACGUGUAAAGUGUGGCAAGGAUGUAAUUGCAAGGGUUGUGUAGGUUAAUCCACGAGUCCUUAUCCAUGAUGGGCUAAGACUAGUAAUUAUUUACCCUGCUUUCUAUUUAUAGCAAUUCUUUAUUUUCUACCUUCAUCCGUAUUGGUCCAGAAUGGAAGAAUUUACAUUUCUUGUUUAUUCAUGAUUUUCGUGGGAAAGGAUCAGAAAGGAAACGGAUAUGAAUAGGUAAAUCACCCGCGUAAAUGACAUCACGGCCCAUAAAGUAUAUUCCUUUGGCCUGGCUAGUAAUCGAAAUUAUCACGCCCCUUCAAUUUCUGGUGAUCACGUGGAACUUGUGACUAUAAAGAUUAAAAUCAUGGAAAUAAUCGCAUACUUUUAACAUUGAAGUGAAUGCGGGACGGGAGAGGGGGAUAAGGCUACUAGUCACAGCCCUUAUAGAAGAACAUAUUGGAACAUAAAUAAAAUAUCUCAAUAGUAGGCCUACCAAAAUAUAUAAUUAUUAUAUGUAUUUUAAACAUACAUUAUGCAAGAGCUAAAUCUGAUUAUUGCAAGUCUUUAUUUAGGCUUCAGAUGUUAUAGAAAUUAUAAAUUAGAUCUUUAUUUAGACAACAAGCACAAAAUCAACUCUGUAGACCAAAGGAUGGCUUGGAUUCAGCUUGGAUUUAAACGGGAUUUCGUUCACUGAUUUAAUUUUAAAUGGCGUCGUGAGCGGAGAUUCCGUUACAUUACGUUGACGUCAUACUCCCGGAUCGAGGCUAAAUGAUAGAGUGUACGAAGCGAGGCCGCUGUUGAGCGAUGCCUUAACAAAUGACAUCUAAACUAUUUAAAGUGCAGUAAACUAAACACAGAUAAUGACAAAUUAUACAAUUCCUGGAGACCGUGUGAUGACUAACACAGACGGACAGCUCUUCUCUCUUAAUAAUAUCAAUAAAAAUAUUUUUAUUUCCCCAAUAGGCACGCCGCCACUAUCAUAAUUGUAUUAUAAUAUUAUGUCCUAUAUUCAACUGAUUUAAUGCAUGCCCAAAAUACAAGUAAGAAUGAAAAUUUACCCUCUCACUCAUUUUGUCCAAUUGUUAUAAAAAUCCAAAAAGGUAAAACACAAAUUCGGAUAUGAUGAUACCAGACAAAAGACAGCAGAGAUUAUGUAGGUGGAGUUAACGCCUGUCAAUCAAACGAUGGAAUUCAAUCCCAUUUCUAGUCAAAAAUUACACUGGUGAUAACUAUGUUCAGAAUAAAGUAAUUUGACUGAAAUUUUCAAUAUAUUCUUCUUUCAUCAUCUAUUUUUGAACUGUUAUAGCAAGAAUGGCUAACUCCUUAUAAAAAUCUCGCAUAAUGUAUCUUUAAUGUACACUAGUUUGAUCCUCAUAUCUUCAUUUUCUUCAUAUAUGAUCCAUAUGUUCAUUGGCCAACUACACGGUAAUAUUAAAGAUCCAUUAUGUAAGAAUUAGAUAAGGAGCUGACCGUUCUUGUCGUAAUGCUGUAGUUUAAAAAUAGAUGAUGAAUAUAUUGAAAAUUUCAGUCAAAUUACUUUAUUCUGUAAAUCUACUUUAAAUCGGGCCCCCCAAAGGCCCAGAUAGUUCAUUGUGGGCUUGUCAUGUUAAUAAAUGUUUAUAUAAUAAUUUAUAUAGCAUUUGAAGCCAGAAAAAAAGGACCGGAAUGGGCAGAUUUAGCAUUUACAUAAUGUAUCUUUAACAAUGAAUUUUACUGUAUAUUACCCACUAGGGAAGGUAACCAGGGCGUAAUGAUAUUUUGUAACUGGGGAUAUAUUAUUUCAAUAUUUUCAAUAUUACAUUUACACAACAAGUACGAUCGUACUAUGGGCCAGGAACUGGCUAUGUUGUCGGAUGAAAUUCAAAAAUCUAAUUUACAACAUCAAAGCAGAAUUGUUCAAAGAAGAAGCAUGACAAUUUUCAUGUCGAUCGGACUUGAAUUGGCGGAGCUUUAGGCUUUUAAGAGCGUCACCACAAGAAGAAGAACAAGAAGAAGAUAAGUAGCGGUUAGCGACCAGCUCCUGGUCCAAAAAUACACAUUAACAAUGUAUACCGCCCAAUUUGUGUGAACCGUUUAUUUAUUACAAUAUCAUUUGAACAGAUGAAAUAUUUUUGGAUACUGCAACUGUUAAAGCCGUUGAUGGUCAUUUGCAUUUUUCGGAUAAGCUCCCACCAAAACAUCGUCCGUAUCUGAGAUGCGAAAUGUUACGAAAUUUUCAGUCUUUGUAAACAGUGAACAGAACUGUGCCAUUUUGGACUGAUAUUCCUUUUAGAAAUUCAACUUUCAGGUUUUUCCAAUAGUUCUCAAAUGACAAUCAAUGGCUUUAAAAAGACGCAAUUGCUACUAAAAUAGCUUCCGUCUUUUUCUUUAGAAAAAUAAGAAUGAAUGUUGAGUUGUUAUAACUUAUUUCAACCAUAUUUUAUUUUAUGUGUCAACAAUAUAUUUUUGUGUCUGUGUAAAAUGGUAACGAUAAACAACAACAGUAUACUGAAAAAAAAUAUGAAUAAAUUAUAUAUCCAUUUUUA